GCGUGCUUAACACAUGCAAGUCGAACGGAAAGGCCCUGCUUUUGUGGGGUGCUCGAGUGGCGAACGGGUGAGUAACACGUGAGUAACCUGCCCUUGACUUUGGGAUAACUUCAGGAAACUGGGGCUAAUACCGGAUAGGAGCUCCUGCUGCAUGGUGGGGGUUGGAAAGUUUCGGCGGUUGGGGAUGGACUCGCGGCUUAUCAGCUUGUUGGUGGGGUAGUGGCUUACCAAGGCUUUGACGGGUAGCCGGCCUGAGAGGGUGACCGGCCACAUUGGGACUGAGAUACGGCCCAGACUCCUACGGGAGGCAGCAGUGGGGAAUAUUGCACAAUGGGCGGAAGCCUGAUGCAGCAACGCCGCGUGCGGGAUGACGGCCUUCGGGUUGUAAACCGCUUUCGCCUGUGACGAAGCGUGAGUGACGGUAAUGGGUAAAGAAGCACCGGCUAACUACGUGCCAGCAGCCGCGGUGAUACGUAGGGUGCGAGCGUUGUCCGGAUUUAUUGGGCGUAAAGGGCUCGUAGGUGGUUGAUCGCGUCGGAAGUGUAAUCUUGGGGCUUAACCCUGAGCGUGCUUUCGAUACGGGUUGACUUGAGGAAGGUAGGGGAGAAUGGAAUUCCUGGUGGAGCGGUGGAAUGCGCAGAUAUCAGGAGGAACACCAGUGGCGAAGGCGGUUCUCUGGGCCUUUCCUGACGCUGAGAAGCGAAAGCGUGGGGAGCGAACAGGCUUAGAUACCCUGGUAGUCCACGCUGUAAACGGUGGGUACUAGGUGUGGGGUCCAUUCCACGGGUUCCGUGCCGUAGCUAACGCUUUAAGUACCCCGCCUGGGGAGUACGGCCGCAAGGCUAAAACUCAAAGGAAUUGACGGGGCCCCGCACAAGCGGCGGAGCAUGCGGAUUAAUUCGAUGCAACGCGUAGAACCUUACCUGGGUUUGACAUGGAUCGGGAGUGCUCAGAGAUGGGUGUGCCUCUUUUGGGGUCGGUUCACAGGUGGUGCAUGGCUGUCGUCAGCUCGUGUCGUGAGAUGUUGGGUUAAGUCCCGCAACGAGCGCAACCCUUGUUCACUGUUGCCAGCACGUUAUGGUGGGGACUCAGUGGAGACCGCCGGGGUCAACUCGGAGGAAGGUGGGGAUGACGUCAAGUCAUCAUGCCCCUUAUGUCCAGGGCUUCACGCAUGCUACAAUGGCUGGUACAGAGAGUGGCGAGCCUGUGAGGGUGAGCGAAUCUCGGAAAGCCGGUCUCAGUUCGGAUUGGGGUCUGCAACUCGACCUCAUGAAGUCGGAGUCGCUAGUAAUCGCAGAUCAGCAACGCUGCGGUGAAUACGUUCCCGGGGCUUGUACACACCGCCCGUCAAGUCAUGAAAGUUGGUAACACCCGAAGCCGGUGGCCUAACCGUUGUGGGGGAGCCGUCGAAGGUGGGACUGGUGAUUAGG
rnacentral:rRNA from 1 species